rnacentral:lncRNA from 1 species
GCUGUGCAAUGCCUCCAGUGGUGUAUGGCUCUGCCAAGGUCCUGGAGGUGCUGAGCGUGUGUCCCAGGGGAAGGGGCUUUGGGAGCCAGCAGGGCUUGCCCAGAGAACUCGUACAGCAAGAUCUGAAACAGCUGCUUCACUGGGAGCUGGUUCAGCUUGGUGAGAGUUCCAAGAAACACUGGUGCUGCAGGGUGGCCAUAAGUGCAUCUGCAGGGUGGGAAUGUAGAGGUGUUGUGAGGAUGAAGGGGAGCAUCACCUCCUGGCAGCAGUGAUCCUGUCAGGGUGCCCCACCAGAGCUCAACCUCCUUGGUGGCCAGGGAGAGGCUGGGUUGAGUGUUCUGGUCACUGAGUGUACUGCUCUAACCUGGAAUUACAAAAAAAACAAAAACAAAAACAAAACCAAAAACAACAACAACAAAAAAAAAAAGCCAAAAAAAACCAAAACCCCAAAACCCCAAAAACCAAAAACAACCAAACCAGAAGGAUUUGGGAGUAUUUUUGUAAACAGGAGCAUCAACACACUGCAUGCUAUACCAUGGCUAUCAGAAAACAAGCAAUGUGCCUCAGACAAUUAAAAAAUGAGCGAGGUGAUAUGAUGCCAUCCGCAUCUGCAAAAUCAUUAUAAAUCUGUCAUGUAAGGUACGCUCAUUGGGAGGUGGGCCAGUCUUUCUAGAGAGGACACAGAAAUCUGGUGAUAAAACAACUGAAGUGAUGGGAGACUUCUUGAUGAAUGGUUGACCAAGAGGGUCUGCUCUUGGACAGGAGGGGAAUAGAAAGGGACAGAGCAUCCUAUGGCACACAAACAAUGCAUAUAACAUCACCUGAGACAAAACUAAAGUGAAACUGAAAGAUAACCAAUUCCAGUAAAAGGUAAAUUCUUUUUCAGCAAUCUAUCAUGUUCAUUGCUACGAGAUAUGAGGAAAGUAAAGAGACUCUUAGGCAUCUAGACAUUUACAUCAAUAAAAGAAUAUGUACUGUUAGUCUGUGUAAGAUA